UACGUAGGGGGCUAGCGUUGUCCGGAAUCAUUGGGCGUAAAGCGCGUGUAGGCGGUCCGGUAAGUCCGCUGUGAAAGUCGGGGGUUCAACCCUCGAAUGCCGGUGGAUACUGUCGGGCUAGAGUGCGGAAGAGGCGAGUGGAAUUCCUGGUGUAGCGGUGAAAUGCGCAGAUAUCAGGAGGAACACCGGUGGCGAAGGCGGGAUCCUGGGCCAGUACUGACGCUGAGGAGCGAAAGCGUGGGGAGCAAACAGG
rnacentral:rRNA from 1 species